rnacentral:lncRNA from 1 species
GCAGAUAACAAGAGUGAUGCUCACAGGGGUAGGCAUAGACACAUCGGGGCCUAAGGGGAGAGGAACUCUCCCUAGACACACAGAUUGCUCUCAGGGUAAGGAGGGGAGGCUGGUAGAGAGACUCCUUAACUGGCAUUCCUGGGUGGGUUUCCUUGGAGAAAGAGAGGACAAACCCCAAAGAGUGACCCUAAUGGCCUGUCUUGAAUCCAGAUGGGCUGACGCUAAGAGGAAGCAGUGUGUGGCUUGAAGAUUCUUGAACCCACAGCAGCAGCCGCGGCCACCCCAUCCUGCCCACAGCUCCAGCCCUGAGACGACGAGGAGGAGAUUCGACUUUGCCUCUUGCCCAAGGGACCAUGCCCAGGUGCCGGUGGCUCUCCCUGAUCCUCCUCACACUGACAGGCAGCUCUGGGUCCUGGGAGUCUGCCAUUGUUGGACUCCAUUAACAGGCUCCCUAGCCCUUCCACUGAUGGCUGCAUUUGGCUAAUUUUGGGGAAUGGGAGCAUAUUCCAAUGGCCACUGAGAAUCAUACUGAAAAAAAUAGACAUCUUACCAUGCCAUGCCUGUGCAUUUAAACAACUGUUUUCUUGGUUUUCAAUAUUUUAGGUCAAAUGUUGGGCAAAGUACAGUCUUGAGAAAAAAAACAAAUGAGGAUUUUGACAACAGAAGGUGGCACACAGGCAUAAGGGUGGUGAGGGUGACAGCAGGGCUGUGCUGACAUCCUCAUCCUACAGAGAGAAGUGCCAGGAGAUCCUGGGAGAUGAUGAACUGUGAGAGUGUGAUGAUAGUUUUCAAUCUUAUAAAAGCAACUAGUAGAAUAUCUAUCUAUCUGUUGAUCAAUUAGUCAA